rnacentral:rRNA from 1 species
UACGUAGGGUGCGAGCGUUAAUCGGAAUUACUGGGCGUAAAGCGUGCGCCAGGCGGUUCGUUGUGUCGGCGGUGAAAGCCCCGGGCUCAACCCGGGAAGUGCAUUUGAUACUGCAUAGCUUGAAUGUUGGAGAGGAUAGUAGAAUUCCAGGUGUAGUGGUGAAAUACGUAGAUAUCUGGAGGAAUACCGGUGGCGAAGGCGGCUAUCUGGCCAAACAUUGACGCUGAGAGGACGAAAAGCAUGGGGAUCAAACAGG